rnacentral:rRNA from 1 species
AGUGAACGCUGGCGGUAGGCCUAACACAUGCAAGUCGAACGGCAGCACAGUAAGAGCUUGCUCUUACGGGUGGCGAGUGGCGGACGGGUGAGGAAUACAUCGGAAUCUACUUUUUCGUGGGGGAUAACGAAGGGAAACUUACGCUAAUACCGCAUACGACCUACGGGUGAAAGCAGGGGAUCUUCGGACCUUGCGCGAUUGAAUGAGCCGAUGUCGGAUUAGCUAGUUGGCGGGGUAAAGGCCCACCAAGGCGACGAUCCGUAGCUGGUCUGAGAGGAUGAUCAGCCACACUGGAACUGAGACACGGUCCAGACUCCUACGGGAGGCAGCAGUGGGGAAUAUUGGACAAUGGGCGCAAGCCUGAUCCAGCCAUACCGCGUGGGUGAAGAAGGCCUUCGGGUUGUAAAGCCCUUUUGUUGGGAAAGAAAAGCAGCAGGUUAAGACCCCGCUGUUCUGACGGUACCCAAAGAAUAAGCACCGGCUAACUUCGUG